UACGUAGGGUGCAAGCGUUGUCCGGAAUUAUUGGGCGUAAAGAGCUUGUAGGCGGUUUGUCGCGUCUGCCGUGAAAUUUCGAGGCUCAACCUCGAACUUGCGGUGGGUACGGGCAGACUAGAGUUCGGCAGGGGAGACUGGAAUUCCUGGUGUAGCGGUGAAAUGCGCAGAUAUCAGGAGGAACACCGGUGGCGAAGGCGGGUCUCUGGGCCGAAACUGACGCUGAGGAGCGAAAGCAUGGGGAGCGAACAGG
rnacentral:rRNA from 1 species